CCUGUAGUACAAUGGGCAGCGCUUUGGACUUCUAAUCCAAAAGUCGUGGGUUCUAAUCCCACCCAGAAUGG
rnacentral:tRNA from 1 species